GAAACAGGUGCUAAUACCGCAUAAUGCUUUUUCUCACAUGAGAGAAAGCUGAAAGGCGCUUUUGCGUCACUGAUGGAUGGACCCGCGGUGCAUUAGCUAGUUGGUAGGGUAACGGCCUACCAAGGCAACGAUGCAUAGCCGACCUGAGAGGGUGAUCGGCCACACUGGGACUGAGACACGGCCCAGACUCCUACGGGAGGCAGCAGUAGGGAAUCUUCGGCAAUGGACGAAAGUCUGACCGAGCAACGCCGCGUGAGUGAAGAAGGUUUUCGGAUCGUAAAACUCUGUUGUUAGAGAAGAACAAGGAUGAGAAGAGAAUGUUCAUCCCUUGACGGUAUCUAGCCAGAAAGCCACGGCUAACUACGUGCCAGCAGCCGCGGUAAUACGUAGGUGGCAAGCGUUGUCCGGAUUUAUUGGGCGUAAAGCGAGCGCAGGCGGUUCUUUAAGUCUGAUGUGAAAGCCCCCGGCUUAACCGGGGAGGGUCAUUGGAAACUGGGGAACUUGAGUGCA
rnacentral:rRNA from 1 species